CUUGCCAGAGUGUUAACACUCUUUCAUGUUUUUCAUUAAUUCCAUCUAGUUUCACCAUGUCUUUGGUGAACUAAACCAUUUGUUGUUGGGGAACAAUGUAAUCCUUUUGAAACUCUCUCAUAUUGAAAUUCUUAUUUUAUUCAUAUGCUUAUUAAAUCAAUUGUUUGGGUUUUCUUCUCUGAGGUUAAUGCAUACAUCGUUUAACUCAU
rnacentral:lncRNA from 1 species